AAAAAGUACAGCGGCGGACGGGUGAGUAACGCGUAGGAAUCUACCUAGUAGUGGGGGACAACAUGUGGAAACGCAUGCUAAUACCGCAUACGCCCUAUGGGGGAAAGCAGGGGAUCUUCGGACCUUGCGCUAUUAGAUGAGCCUGCGUCGGAUUAGUUUGUUGGUAGGGUAAUGGCCUACCAAGACUACGAUCCGUAGCUGGUCUGAGAGGAUGAUCAGCCACACUGGGACUGAGACACGGCCCAGACUCC
rnacentral:rRNA from 1 species